UGGGUAAUAGCUUAAUAGGUAGAGCCUUUGUGUUGCAUACAAAAAGUAAGAGUUCAAGUCUCUUUUACUCCA